rnacentral:pre_miRNA from 1 species
AGAGGAAUAGCUGGGUCAAAUGGUGGUUCCAUUCCCAGAUUUCCAAGGAAUCUCCAUACUGCUUUCCAUAUUGGCUGCACCAAUUUGCAGUCCCACCAGCAAU